rnacentral:rRNA from 1 species
GACGUAGGGCGCGAGCGUUGUCCGGAUUUAUUGGGCGUAAAGAGCUCGUAGGCGGCUUGUCGCGUCGUCCGUGAAAACCCACAGCUCAACUGUGGGCUUGCGGUCGAUACGGGCAGGCUAGAGUUCGGUAGGGGAGACUGGAAUUCCUGGUGUAGCGGUGAAAUGCGCAGAUAUCAGGAGGAACACCGGUGGCGAAGGCGGGUCUCUGGGCCGAUACUGACGCUGAACGGCGAAAGCUAGGGGAGCAAACGGG